UUAAAUUAGUAAGAGCGUACGGUGGAUGUCUUGGCAUAUAGAGCAGAAGAAGGACGCAGAUAACGGCGAAACGCCUCGGGGAGUCGUACACAGGCAACGAUCCGGGGGUAUCCGAAUGGGGAAACCCGAUAAAGUUGAAAAGCUUUAUCAUCCUUAAGCCAAUACAUAACUUAAGAGAAGGCAACCCAGGGAAUUGAAACAUCUUAGUACCUGGAGGAGAAGAAAAUAACAAUGAUUCCGAGAGUAGUGGCGAGCGAAAUCGGAGCAGCCCAAACCAGCAACGAGCUGGGGUAGUAGGACCACGACAAGUGAUUGAAAAGGGAUAGUCGAAUGGCAUUGAAAGGUCAGCCGCAGAAGGUGCAAGCCCUGUAGGCGAAAUCCCGAUUCACGCGAGUGGUAUCCUGAGUACGUCGGAGCACGUGAAACUCUGACGGAAUCGACCGGGACCAUCCGGUAAGGCUAAAUACUCCUAUAUGACCGAUAGUGAACCAGUACCAUGAGGGAAAGAUGAAAAGAACCGCGGGAGCGGAGUGAAAUAGAUCCUGAAACCGUAUGCUUACAAAAAGUCAGAGCACAUUAAGGUGUGAUGGCGUGCCUUUUGUAGAAUGAACCGGCGAGUUAUCUUUACAUGCGAGGUUAAGCAGACAAUGCGGAGCCGUAGCGAAAGCGAAUCUUAAUAGGGUGACAAGUAUGUAGAGAUAGACCCGAAGCCGUAGUGAUCUAGUCAUGAGCAGGUUGAAGGCUGGGUGAAUCCAGCUGGAGGACCGAACCGACCCCCGUUGAAAAGUUGGCGGAUGACUUGUGAUUAGCGGAGAAAUUCCAAUCGAACACGGCGAUAGCUGGUUCUCCCCGAAAUAGCUUUAGGGCUAGCGUUGAACGGAUCUACCCGGAGGUAGAGCACUGAAAUCAUGCGGGCGGCAUCUCGCCGUACCAAAUGAUAUCAAACUCCGAAUGCCGGGCAAGAAUAUUCAACAGUCAGACUGUGGGUGAUAAGGUCCAUGGUCAAAAGGGAAACAGCCCAGAUCAUCAGAUAAGGUCCCAAAAUUUACGCUAAGUGGAAAAGGAUGUGGAGACGCGCAAACAGCUAGGAGGUUGGCUCAGAAGCAGCCAUCCUUCAAAGAGUGCGUAACAGCUCACUAGUCGAGUAUCUCUGCGCCGAAAAUUAACCGGGGCUAAGCGUAAUACCGAAUCUAUGGAUUUAUACUUAGGUAUAAGUGGUAGGGGAGCGUUCCAUACAGCAUUGAAGGUAUACCGUAAGGAGUGCUGGAGCGUAUGGAAGUGAGAAUGCCGGUGUGAGUAGCGAGAUGUGGGUGAGAAUCCCACACACCGAACAACCAAGGUUUCCAGGGGAAGGUUCGUCCGCCCUGGGUAAGUCGGGACCUAAGGCCAGGCCGAAAGGCGUAGUCGAUGGACAGCAGGUUGAUAUUCCUGCACCCGCGAGUAAAGUGAUGGAGUGACAGAUAGGGUUAGCCCUAGUCCUUAAUGGAUUGGGCAAGGCAAGCAGGAGAGUGGCGUAGGCAAAUCCGCGCCGGAUACUCAAAGGCUUGACUCAAGCGAACGCGCGAGCAAGUAGUGAAGAGGGUGAUACCAGGUCUCAAGAAAAGCUUCUAGCGAUAAUUUACUAGCGGCCCGUACCAAAACCGACACAGGUGGUUGAGGCGAGUAGCCUAAGGUGAGCGAGAGAACUGUUGCCAAGGAACUCGGCAAAUUGACCCCGUACGUUAGCAAUAAGGGGUGCUCGAAAGAGCCGCAGUGAAUAGGCCCUAGCAACUGUUUAACUAAAACAUAGCUCUCUGCGAAGUCGCAAGACGAAGUAUAGGGGGUGACACCUGCCCGGUGCUGGAAGGUCAAGGGGAUUUGUCAGACGCAAGUCGAAGCAUUGAACCGAAGCCCCAGUGAACGGCGGCCGUAACUAUAACGGUCCUAAGGUAGCGAAAUUCCUUGUCGGGUAAG
rnacentral:rRNA from 1 species